rnacentral:miRNA from 1 species
GCGUGCGUGGAGCCAAGCAUG